CAAUGAGGAGAUGAGAAAUGCAGGACUUGCAGCGAGAUCUAUUUUAGCCCGUGCAAUAAUUGAAUAACAUAGAUUUCUAAAUUUAUUUUUGCAACGCUCGCGUGAGGCUACUGUUUGGAACCACCAGGAUGCGUGGCAUCAGAACAUUCCAGGCAUUCCCGUGAUUGGCAGGUAGUAGGUUAAUUGGCAGGUCGGACCCCGCGAACACUGGGUACUGGUUAGCAUUGAAGAGUUUUCCCCCACAGCCAGGAUGACCAAGUGCCCACACUUUGACAGGAACAUUCUGUGUCCACCAUCAACACAGGAGCUGGGGGACCUGAUGGAGGAGGCUCGCAUGCGCAUCCUGAAGGCACAGGUAGUGGUUCUACACACCUCACUAUUUCAAGUCCUGACCAGGCUUAAUUGAGAGGGAGAAAGAGGGAGCAGGAUGGCGGAUCAAGGCUGUGUACCUUUAGAGCAACUAUCUUCUUAGAUAGAACCAUCAAAGGAAAUGGGACACAUCAGCAAAUACUAAUGAUUGGGGGAAAAAAGGAAUGGGAUGUAACUACCAUUCCAUUGUACCCCAUAAAAGCCAGAGAAGGGAUAUAAGUGACUGCUCAAAGUAGGGGACCUAAAUGUGUUCUGG
rnacentral:lncRNA from 1 species